rnacentral:pre_miRNA from 1 species
UAUAAUGUUUUGACUCUUCGUCUUAUUUAAAAUUUUUUACGAUUAAUACUUUUAUUUUUAUUAGAUGAUAAAACAUGAAUAGUACUUUAUGCUGACUAAUUUUUUAAAGUUUUUUAUAAUUUUUUUAAAUAAGACGAAUGAUCAAACGUUAGACAUGGAAAAACA